UGGGGAAUUUUGGACAAUGGGGGCAACCCUGAUCCAGCAAUGCCGCGUGUGUGAAGAAGGCCUUCGGGUUGUAAAGCACUUUUGUCCGGGAAGAAAUCGCACCUGAUAAUACCGGGUGUGGAUGACGGUACCGGAAGAAUAAGGACCGGCUAACUACGUGCCAGCAGCCGCGGUAAUACGUAGGGUCCAAGCGUUAAUCGGAAUUACUGGGCGUAAAGCGUGCGCAGGCGGUUGUGCAAGACCGAUGUGAAAUCCCCGGGCUUAACCUGGGAAUUGCAUUGGUGACUGCACGGCUAGAGUGUGUCAGAGGGGGGUAGAAUUCCACGUGUAGCAGUGAAAUGCGUAGAGAUGUGGAGGAAUACCGAUGGCGAAGGCAGCCCCCUGGGAUAACACUGUCGCUCAUGCACGAAAGCGUGGGGAGCAAACAGG
rnacentral:rRNA from 1 species